AUGGUUCCUGCUCUUCCAACACACCUUGCCACUGUCUCCCUUCUCUCCUUUUUCAUGUUAGUCUCGAGCGCUGCGAAUCGAGACAUACUGCGACCGGGAACCUCCCUCGCCGUUGAAGCCUACCAAAGUGAAAUCCUGCAAUCACCGGAUGGCAGCUUCUCCUGUGGCUUCUACGGCGUCUAUGACAACGCCUUCACCUUCUCAAUAUGGUACUCCAAGGCAGCCAACAAGACCGUCGUCUGGAGUGCGAACCGCGACCGCCCCGUCCACUCCAGGAGGUCAGCCCUGACCUUGCACAAGGAUGGCAACAUGGUCCUCACAGAUUACGAUGACGCGGUUGUGUGGCAAGCUGAUGAUGAUGGAAACUCCCACAGAAAUGUUCAGCAUGUUCAGCUGCUGGACACUGGGAAUCUCGUAAUGAAGAACACCAGUGGUACGAUAAUAUGGCAAAGUUUCGAUUCACCGACAGACACGCUCCUACCAGCCCAGUGCAUCACGGCUGCGACAAAGUUGGUCCCAACAACCCAGUCGCGUGCUCCUGGUAACUACAUCUUCCGUUUCAAUGAUAUAUCAGUGCUGUCACUUAUAUAUGAUGUUCCCGAGGUUUCGGAUAUAUACUGGCCAAACCCUGAUAACAGUGUGUACGAAAAUAACAGAAGCCGGUAUAACAGUACUAGAUUGGCAAUUCUAGACAAUAAUGGGAUCCUUGCAUCUAGUGAUUUUGCUGAUGGAGUGCUACCUAAGGCCUCUGAUGCAGCGCCAGGGAUUAGGAGAAGGCUAACUCUUGACCCUGAUGGUAAUCUCCGGCUGUACAGCCUGAACGACUCAGAUGGGGUGUGGUCAGUUUCAAUGGUAGCAAUCUCCCAACCUUGUACUAUCCAUGGUAUAUGCGGUCAGAAUGGAAUCUGUCAUUACUCGCCUGAACCAACGUGUUCAUGCCCACCGGGUUAUGUGAUGACCAACCCGGGUAACUGGACCCAAGGCUGCACGGCUAGUUUCAACAUACCAUGUCAUGAUCAGGAACCUAUGAAGUUUGUGAAACUCCCGCACACGGAUUUCUGGGGAUCUGAUCAGAAGCGCCUUCUGGGAGUUUCCUUUGAGACUUGUAGGAACAGUUGCAUCAGUGACUGCACCUGCAAAGGCUUUCAAUACCAGCAAGGUGCAGGGUCAUGCUACCCGAAAGCUCUUCUUUUCAAUGGAAAGAGCUGCGCGACACCCAGCGUGUGA
rnacentral:rRNA from 1 species